AAUACUGUUUGUUGAAGGAGAUCCUGACUCACUCUUCAUCUUCGUUCGUUAUUCAAAUGUGUUUAUGUGACAAUACUCACAAGGAUAAAAGAUUAAUGUUACAAUAAGAAUAAAAAAUGGCUUCGUCGCCUAACAAAUUAAUGAUUGAGGAAAAUGGAUCUCGUUUGAGUAAACUUUUAAUCAAUAAAGGAACCCGAGCCUUAAAAACAACAUUGCAAUCUUUAUUAAAGCCAUCAAGUUUAGCUGGUAAACUUAAAGAUCCCUCUACAAAGAAGACACUAACAUCUUUAAAAUUUAAUGUCAUCAGCAAAGAGCAAUGGAACCUUCUUUACCCGUCAACUGGCUCACCUGACGUUGAAAACUUUGAUAUUUCAUUAUUGACUGUCUUGUUAAGAAAUAUAUG